GCAGCGCAUUCAAGAUUGUUUUGAAUGGUCAUAGUUAGUCACACACACUUGUUUAGAUAACAUAUUAUAUAAUAUCACAUAAUAUGUUUCCUCAAAAAGAAAUUUAUACGGCAUAAUAUGUUUCCUUCUUUCUUUCUAUCCAUUUUUCUCUUCUGAAUAAACCAAGAAACAGCAGUUAGUUGACACGUCUGUAUGUAUGAGAACCUCCAUCGAUCGAUCCCGUAAUUCGCUGUUGGAUACAUUUGUGAAUAAAGGAUAAGAGAGAAAACGUCAGAACGAGACAACCAUUUAUGUACAAAGAUCUGAAUUAAAGAAGGAAAAAUAAAAAGGGUACAAAAGCCGCGUAGCAGAAGCGGAAAGCUGUGACAGGGACGUUAAAGAGAAAGAAAGGAAGGUGAAAAUGAAAUAACAAUAGUAGCCAGCCUGUGCUUUAACCAACAAGACCCUUUUCCCAAAUAUUUGUUUUGUUUUGUUUUUUGUUUUCUUUGGGCAGAGAUUAACAAUGGAGACUUCUUCUUCUUCUUCUUCUUCUUCUUUUUCUUCUUCUUCUAUUGGUUUGGGUAGCAGUAAUUAUGGGGGUGUUAGUAGUGUUAGUGGCAGUAAUAAUAGCAAUUCAAGAAGAUACGGGAUAAAUAUAGCAGCGUCUAGUUUGAUACAUGCUCCAUUGACUACCCUUUUGGAAUAUUCAGGAUUUCUUGGAGGAGGAGGAGGAAGCGCUUCUUCUUCUCAAGAAAGGGAGCAAUUGAUUUCUCCUCCUCCGUCUUCUAGGGGAUCAAACAGAGGUGGUGGUGGUGGGGGUGAACAUCACCAGGACCAGGAGGUUACUAUUAGGAUAAUUGGUGGUGCUGAGUCCAGUUCUGCUUCAUCAUUACCUUUGUCAGAUGAUCAAGAUCAACCACCUGGUGGACCCCUCAUUUCUCAAGCUCUACCUUCUUCUCAUGGGACCACCACCGAACCCUCUUCUUCAACUUCUUAUCAAAGAUAUGAUAUUCAGAAUUUUGCUAGGUGGAUUGAGCAUGUUCUUCCUUUUUCUUUGCUGCUUUUGCUUGUUUUUAUUCGCCAACAUUUGCAAGGGUUUUGUAUGGCAUUAUGGAUUGCUGCAGUUCUGUUCAAAUCAAAUGAUAUUUUAAGAAAGCAGACAGCUCUAAAGGGAGAAAGAAAGAAGUUUUUUCUUGUAGCCAUGACUGUACUAUUCAUGCUUCAUGUGGUAUCAUUUUAUUGGUGGUAUAGAAAUGAUGACCUUCUAUACCCGUUGGCUUUGCUUCCUCCUACCAAACUACCUCCUUUCUGGCAUGCUGUAUUUAUCAUCGUGGUGAAUGAUGCUAUGGUGCGGCAGCUAGCAAUGGCUUUCAAAUGUAUACUUUUGAUGUAUUACAAGAAUAGUAGUGGGCAGAAUUACCGUAAGCAGGGUCAAAUGCUAACUCUCGUGGAGUAUCUUUUGUUGUUCUACCGUGCCUUGUUGCCAGCACCUGUCUGGUAUAGGUUCUUCUUGAACAAAGAGUACGGAAGUCUUUUUUCUUCAUUAGUUACAGGAUUGUAUUUAACCUUCAAGCUUACUUCAGUUUUGAGGAAGAUUCAACUGUUCGUUACAGCAUUGAGGGCUUUAUCUCGUAAAGAAAUGCACUAUGGUUCUUAUGCCACAUCUGAGCAGGUGAGUGGUCUUAUUCAAGCAGUGGAAUCUCACCAUCUCCCUCUCUCAUUAUUUUGGCCAUAAGUCACCCUUUAGCACGCUGAAGGUGUAAUCACCACUCCAAAGGGUGAAGUGUAACCUUUUCAUGAGUAAGUGCCAUCUUGGAAUGCGGAUCGAGUAACCUCUUUCGUGGAUAUAAGGUUUUAUGUUGACCUGGAUUUAUCCGGAUUUUGGUGGUUUAAGGGACUCACUUGGCUUGGUCUCAUGACAUAGCUUGUGCCUGUCUCAGGUUUGAACUUCUAUGCUAAGGUGAAUGUGGUUGUUGAAUUUUAAGGUGCAAGUGUCAUCCUUAUCAAAUGUCAAAGUAAAAGUGUAACCAGCAAAGACUAGAUACACACCUUUUAAGAGUUUAGGGGAUACAAAUGAUUGGACCAUGAAGUGCUUGGCAUCCUCCAUGUCAAUGCAGCAGGAGAUCUCUGUGCUAUCUGCCAGGAGAAGAUGCAUGCACCGAUUUUGCUGUGCUGUAAGCACAUAUUCUGUGAAGAUUGUGUAUCAGAAUG